AAAGACUUUCAAGGACCAUUAGAUGCAAUUUGAUGAAAAAAUGUAUUUGAAUUGAUUGGAAGAAUUAGACUCACCUCCCUGAUUCUACAUAGAUCAGAGAAAUACAUUUCAACAGUUCUGGAAAGAUGUCAAGAAAGCAGAUUUUAGCUUAACAAAAGGAAAAACUAACUGGAGAAGCCCUUGAUGACCAUGGAGUUUCAGAUUGAGAUGAGUCUUCCAAGAGCCACACACAAGACAAGAGAGACUCUCUUCAGAUACAUUUUUUAAAAGAUGUUCCUCAGGGAUGAUGAUUUUCUUCUGGUCCUCGGUCACAAUGGGAAAGAGGCAGACUUCAGUCACCUACUGAGUCCCCUCUACUUGUGUAGGGGCCAAGUGGGGUUCAGUGCUACAUGCCAAGGAAGUGACUGGAAACAAUAAGAUGCAACAGACCCCACCCCCCUUUGCCGCCAAAACUUUCAGUCUAACUGGGGUGAUAAGACAAAGACACAGAUGAGAGGAUGUCUUGAGAGCGCAUUCUAGGUCACCAAGGGGAGUUCUUGCCACACUCAAGUCUCUUUGCAUGUAUAAAUCUAAUAAAGGACUUGACUUGUUAG